AAGGCUUUAGCUUAAUUAAAGUGUCUGAGUUGCAUUCAGGUGAUGUGGGAUAAAAUCCCGCAAGUCUUA
rnacentral:tRNA from 7 species